rnacentral:sRNA from 1 species
UGCUCAGAAUCGAAUAAUAGGCUUCAACUGUAGGCA